rnacentral:rRNA from 1 species
CAAGCAAGACUACCCGCUGAACUUA